UACGGGGGGGGCAAGCGUUGUUCGGAAUUACUGGGCGUAAAGGGCUCGUAGGCGGCCAACUAAGUCGGAUGUGAAAUCCCCAGGCUUAACCUGGGAACUGCAUCCGAUACUGGAUGGCUUGAAUCCGGGAGAGGGAUGCAGAAUUCCAGGUGUAGCGGUGAAAUGCGUAGAUAUCGCUUGGAACGCCAACGGUGAAAACAGGUUGCUGGGGUUGUGCCGACGCUGAGACACGAAAGCCAGGGGAGCAAACGGG
rnacentral:rRNA from 1 species